rnacentral:rRNA from 1 species
UACGUAGGGGGCAAGCGUUGGUCCGGAUUUACUGGGCGUAAAGAGCGUGUAGGCGGCCACGCAGGUCCGUUGUGAAAACUGGAGGCUCAACCUCCAGCUGUCGACGGAAACCGUAUGGCUAGAGUCCGGAAGAGGAGAGUGGAAUUCCGUGGUGUAGCGGUGAAAUGCGCAGAUAAUCAGGAAGAACACCAAUGGCGAAGGCAGCUCUCUGGGACGGUACUGACG